rnacentral:lncRNA from 1 species
UUUCAAGAAAAGGUGGAAGCAAUGAGAGAUGACAAGAAUGCCAGCAGACUGCGCGAAGGUUGUAAUGAGUGGGUUAAACGGAUCGCUUACGCACAGAGCUCUUCUUGCAGCUUCCAUUGUUUAACAUCUCCAAGGAACAAGAUAGAAUCUAGGAAAGAUUUUGUUUGCUGGAAGUAAUUAUUGAAAAACAAAAUGAUUGUGGGAUGCAACAGCUUGUUCAGUGCUCAUCAUGGAUGAUGUGUAGUUUCAUAUUUUAUUUUCAUUGAUGUAAAAGAUUCACUGAAAAUGUGAUUGGUUUUGUGGCAGGAAACUAUGGAAGGUGGCUUGAAGGCAUUAAAUAUAGGGAGGGAAUGGAAGGGUGAUGAUGGCCUUGGCUUGAAAAUGUCUUUGUAGACCAUGUCUGGAGCUUGGAGGCUGAGUUUUAGUUUCCUCCUUCACACAUGUCGUCAAAGUAAUAGAGGUCAUGACACUUGUAAAUACUGACCAAGAGGAAUAUGCUUGGAGGGAAGCUUUUCAAGCUUUAUCUGCCUCAGUCAAGUGCCUCUAACGUUUUAUUAACAGUGCAUUGUUGUCUAACCAAAAAAAGGUUUGGAUACCGAAUAAAUCAUUUUUAUUAAAAUCAUAUCAUUUUGUUUUUUAGGUUCGUCUGGAUCAAUCUCAAGUUUAGUUUAACUAGAAACCUGCUUGAUGCAUUGAAAAUGAGCGCACCUUUUCUCAUUCCAUUUCAUUAUGUUUUGGAGCUGCAUGCUUAAUUACUCGCUAGAAUAACAGUACAUAAUCAACAGACCUAAUUAGACCAUCAAAGCCCCAGACAAGACCCAAAGGAAUUCAAGAAAACAAGGAAAAACAGAACAGAUAUGAGAAAUUUGGGCAAGCAACUCUAUCCACUCCCGUUAGAGAUGCAUAGGAAAUCGAAUUGUCCCUAUCUCACGGGUUAUUUAUCAUAACAAUAACUUAGCAUGUCCAUGCACGUAAAAAGCAUCAUCCUAACUACCCAUCAAACAUUUACCAAUUUGUUCUCCAGUCAACAAGUCAGCUUUACAGGUUGCAGCUCUCCUACCACUCUGAUGUUUCCCAAACCCUCCACCAAUUGAGCCAACUAUUUAUAUUUUGUUCACUAGGAGACAACCUACUACAUUACUUUCAAUCUUCCAUUUUUUUUGUCAUUUUUUUCACAGUGCAUCCUGACAGAAUAUAGGAUGCGGAGUCCAAAGCUAAACAGGUUUUCCAUAAUCUUAGUCAAGGAGAUGCCCAUUCAAAGUAAUGACAGCGGGCACCUCUAGUGGCAGUCCAGUUGCCACAGCCAAAGAACAGGCUACCUUGCUUCGGUCCAGGCUUUCGAACCAUUCCCUUGCUGCUUUUCACCCCACAGAAACAAAAGGGGUGAUACGGGAAAACAGGAAUACGCAUUUCCUUCAGCUUUUGGGGUUGAUGUGGUGAAAAGGACAGGUUCUCGGGGGACUGCUUGCAUGGCAAUGAACUGUCAGUUGUGUUCCACAUCAGUGAGUUGGUGAUGGAGAAUCUGAUACCCCUAUGCAUGAGUAGGGCAAGCAGCCGAGCAGUAUUUUUGGCAUCAUCCAGUCCACAGUGAGCACGGCCCUGCCAUUCUAGGCCUGCCAUCUCAACAGCCUCCUUCAGACAUCUUGCACCACCAAAUAUUUCACAGAACGGAACUUUUAAGUUGAUCCAUCUGACAAAUGUAAGAAAAAGAAAAAAGAAUAUCAUGUCAGAGGCACUUAUGACAUAUCCACAAAAAAAAAAAAAAAACAGAGUUGCAAUUCAUUCACAAUGAAAAAUAGUUUGCCCAGAAAUUCAAAUAUAUUUAUAAUGGAAUGGUUCAAAUCUACAAGUUUUUAUCUGAUCAUUUACCGAUUAAAAUAAGGAGGCUUCCUGAUCUUCUUGAAUCGGCACUCAGAUUCCAACAUCACCCGACAAUCCCAGUUUGACCAUGUCACCACAGCAAAGCUAGUAUUUUUUAUCCCUUUAUUCUCAAGCCAUUUAUCAUGCCUGAGGAGUGCUUCACUAAGAGUAACACCUCUGUCCACCUGGAGCCACACAGAAAUACAAGAAUAAGAUAGAGGCAACAUGAUGUUCAUCAAAAAGUUUAGAAGAGAGAUUAACGUAAAGAAAAUUCUAAGAAACUAGUUGAAGUAAGCAACAGUUUAAAAAGUGUGGCCAGCUUGCAAUUCAAAGUAAUAAAAUAAUUCACGUCGCAAAACCUAAGAGAUAGUGUUUAACGAGAAAUUUUAUAUUCCUACAGGAUUAACUAACAAUACUCCAUGAGGAGAUAGAGAGUUACAAGGAAGAGACAAAAAGCAGAUGGAGAAAGUGAAAAAACCUCUUUCAUGCCAAUGUUUCUCUCUCUUCCAUUUGUCUCUCUCUCCUCAUAAAGUAAAUGUUGGUAAUCACUCCCAGGGUAAUAUAAAUUUCUAGUCACGCACUAUCUGGUCUUUUAAAGGGACAGUCGACCUACCUAACCUAGUACAACGUAAAUCGAACACUGUUGAUAGACAUUCCAAGAAACACAUACACAGUACUCUUUUCUAAAAAGUAAAGGAAUUCCAAACUAACCUGGAUUUGCUGGAUACCAGUCAGAUCCUUGCAGAAAUCACUGAGGUGCUGAUUGCAUGUUGGUCGCACAUAUGUCUGAAAACACGCUUCUAGUUGGCCAGUGACACUGCUCACAAUGACAGAUGGAAACUCAAUUAUCUCUUGUGGAUGAGGAUUUCUUUCCUUGUCACAAGUAGCCUCAAAGUCUAUGACCACAAAAUACUGAAAAUCUUGUAACUGGAUCUCACAUGGAUAACCUUGAGAAAACAUAUUGAAAGGAGCAUACUGAAAUCGAGUCUCCAAAGGAAAGGGAUAAAAUUGGCUUUCAAAACAAUUCAUUUGGCACGGCGGCAUCUUUUGAGAGUCUGGAUAAAAGGUAGACCAUGAGCCAAAAUCAUGAUGGUAGGCAGGUUUGUUCUGAAAUUCACUUGGAAGUUCAAGAAACUCGCUGCUUAGUGAGUGAACUGGUUCAACAACAUCCCUGCCUGGGUGAGCACCAAUUUCUUCUUUGAACCGAAAGCUUUCAAAGGUAUUCCCAUAAGGGAAUCCCUUGAUUUGGAGGCAUUUUAAGGAGGCCUCACAGCUCCUUUGCAUAGUUUCUGUCAAGAAGAAAUGAAAAACAGCAAACACUUGAGAAAAUUUAUUUUAAUAAUCUGUUAUCAUCACCCAUAUUUAACAGUUCUGAUAAACAGUAAAACAAACAAGAAAUACCAAGUGUGUGAAUCCCGGGAAAGCCUCCAAUACACAUUUUUUGGAAAAUAAUAAUGUAUUGAGAAAACACAGCACAUGCAAAAAAAGUGCCAAAGAUGGAAAAAACAAGAAAAGAAAAAAAGAAAAGAGAAACAAAAACAAAAUGCUGCUACAUGGACAGACAACUGCAUAUACACAGAAAAUGCUAAAGCAAAGCCUUUGUAGAUAAUACUAAAGGAUGUGAGAUAAGAAACAAGUAAAUGAUAGCAACAAUUGGCUGGAUAAUCUGGACCAUAAUAUCUAGUGACAUGAGUAUUUACUGCUGCCUUUAUCUUUCUUCUGGGAUAGCCAAAAACUUUACCAGAGGACAACAGAAUGGGUUCCAAUCACAGAACUAAGAAUUCCAGUUGCAAAAAAUUAAUCCACCAAAUCUAUGAUGAAACUUCUAUAUACUAGAUAAAAGUGCAGAGUUAAAACCAACCAUCUAAAAUAAGUCAGAAGUAACUCUUCCCCUCAACAACCCUCCUUGUACAUCCCUUAUACACUAGCCAGAAAAUAAAAGAGUAAGAAUAUUUCCUCUUAUCUGUACACAAUAGUAUAGCCAUUCAAGUGAACACCUCACAAUCUUCAGCAUUCCAAGUAUAUGAUACAUCCCAUGACAUCUUCCUGAAGCAAAAGUCCAAAUAAUAGGUAACCAAAGCCUCCUUAUCCCUAGACAACACAAAAAGAGAGAGAGAUCCAGAAAUUGCUCCUUUAAGUGGCGUGGUAUCAAUUAGCAUCAUCAUCCAAACCACAAUAAUGCAUCUAGAUGCCAAAGCACUAUCAUAUGAAUUCAAAACACCAAGGUCUUUCCCUUCUACCAAACAUAAAUAACAUACAACAUGCACAUUUUCAAGAGGCCACAACAAGUAGCUUCACAAAGUUGUUUCUUAAAAACAAGCCAUUGAUUUUGACAAAAUUCUGGAGAAAGAAGGGUUUUUUAGGUAGAUAAUGAAGCAGAUGGUUAAAGCAUUAAUUCUUAUUUUCUUAGAGAGAACAUUGUCACAAAAGGAAUGACUUGUGUUUAGGAUGGACCUAAUUAAUUAAAAUUUGUUGGACCUUCCCAACCAGUUUCACGUCACUAUCUUGUUUUGAUGAAUUCAAUGACACUCCAUUUGGUUUGAAAAUAUGUGGAUUUCUUACCUUCUUUCAGAUAUAAGGUAAGGAAAUGGAGAAGUAAGUUUCCAGCUGCAGAUGGAGAUGUACAGGCUUGAAGGUCUGAAGUGGUUUUUCAUCUCUCACAAAAUGAGUAAGGCCCCUUGUUUGGCUGAUUUUACCAGGAUUCUUGGAUUAUUGUCGAGGAUGAACAAAUUAAGGUUUUUAACUGGAUUCUACCUUGAAUGAGAUUGCGUGAGGGGAACUAAUCUAUGCUCAUUACAAUAAUUCCCAAAAAAUAUCCUUUUGUCAAAGGUUUAUUAGUUUGCUAAUGAGCUUGCACAAGAUUUUCACUUAAGUGCCAAUCAAAUUGACAAGGUAUUCACAUUCUACACAUGCUCCUGUAGUUGGAUACCUAAAAUGUACUUUAGUAGCUAAUCGAGUAGGUCAAUGACACUAGAAGAAGUAAACUGCACCGAUUGUACACACUUAAAUCAGCAGAUGAUAGGAUCACGAUUAAACUGGUAUAGGACCAUGCCAGGGCCAGCAUUGAAACUGUUUUAUUCAACUUUCUCCAAAACCUUUUCUGAACCUAGGCUCUAGAUGUGGAAAGCUACAUUGCACAUCAACUCAACAUGCAAUAAAUUUCAAAUCACACACAUGCAUAGAAUGCCACCACUUGAACACUUCGUGCAAUUUCUAUCUACCAAAAACCUAAAUAUCCAAAUCACACAAUUCCUCACUAAUAUCCAAAUCUCUGCAAAACAUAAAAUCACACAUCCUCCACUCCACAAGAAUUUAUAAACAUUCAAGUAGCAAUUACCUCACCAGCUACCAAAUCACGCAACAACACCACAAAACAUUCACCAACCAUGUUAUAUCACAAAACUAAACUGCAGUGCAGUGUGAUCAACCAGUAACCAGCACUCAAAAUAUCCCUCAAGUCUCCAACUUUACAAUUCAAUUCUCCAUUGUAAGCAAAACCCAUUAUAGAAAAUCGAUCAAAUAACAUUAUCACAAAAAAAAAAAAAACAGAUUACACUACCACUCAUAUAAUUGAAAUAACACUCGAAACAGAUCAAAAGUUUUCAAAAUUCAGAAAAACAAACAAAACCCAGAAGAGAAAACACAACAAAACAGAGCAUAAGCAUAAGCAUACCUUUAUUUUCAAGGGCCAUCAUGAUCUUGUGUAUAAUUAAGAUCCACCAGCAAGUACAUCAGAUCUUCCUCUAUUCAGCCCACCUAUACACACCAAUAACAGUAAUUAAUCACUUAUACGUAUAAAUACACGGUUCUUAAUACACCAGUUAUAUCUCUUUUGACAUCAGCAAAGAAAUAAAUGCUAGAGAAAGAAGGAGAAUAAACCUGGUGUGAUUUGGAAAUGUGAGAGAGCGAGGGAGGUUAUGCUUAUAAGAGACUCUGUUUUUUUUUUUUUUUUAACAUAGUUUUCAUUUAAUAUUAAUUAUAUUACAGUAAUAUAUAAUUAGAUUAAUGAUAUUCUAUUUUUUAUCCAGAAAAAUUAUCAAAUCAAUUUUCCAAAUAAUUAAUGAGUUUGCUUUAUAUUAUCAUUUAAAGAUUACAAAUUUUAACCAUCUAGGUGGUGGUUCAGUGGUAAAAGCUUGGGAUCAAGAGAUUUGUUCCCUCUAUAAUCUCAGGUUCGAGAGCCAUGUGGUUACUCAUAUAAUGGCCACUGAAGGCUUACAUGGUCGUUAACUUCAGGGCCCGUGGGAUUAGUCGAGGUGCAUGCAAGCCGGCCCGAACACCCACGUUAAACUAAAAAAAAACAUUACAAAUUUUAGAAAAAAAAUAUAAGUUCUUGUAAUUAUUCCAAUUCAAGUUUAAAUUAUUUAUUUAAAAUAUGAUAUAGAAAAUUAAUAUUAGAAAAAAAUGAUCGUACUAACUAAUUCCAAAUAAAAUAUUGGCUAUGAGAUUUUUUGAAACACUUAUUUGGAAUAAGUUUUGAAAGCAAACAAAAUAAUAUGCAUACAAUUAUUUGUUUCCUCAUUAAGAUACUUUUUAUUAGUGUUUUUUAAUUUCUUGAAAAUGAAUUUGAGUGGGGCCCAAGUAAAAAAGGAAGAAAAAAUUGCGUGGACACGUGUCCGAAUUGGAAUGGUUUAACAUUGUCAGUUGAUGUCAGGGAGUUCAGAUAUUUGAUGUUUUGUUUGUGUGAUAGAAUUUUGUAUGGCGACAACAAUUGGAGAGUUCUUUCUUAAUUUCUUUAUUUUUUUUGUGCUUUUUUUUUAUUUCUAUAAGUUUAUAUUUGGUGAGGCCAAUAUAAAAAAAUAUUUUAUUAAAAAAAUAAAGAUAAAAAUAUAAAAUAAAUUAAUUUUUAUUAUAAUUUUUUAUCAGAAUUUUGUAUUUUCAAAAUAAAAAUAUAAAAAAACAAGUUUUUAAGUUAAUGAAAGAAUUGAUCAGUUGGAUAUUUGUGUGUUGUAUUGAUGGGGCCUAUGGAAGAUUUUAUUUGCUUGGCAUGAAUUGAUUCCUGUUUUCUGUCUUGCUUGGCACUUUUCUUUUUGGCUUGUUUGAGAAAUUAAGUGGAGAGUAUUUGAGAUUUUUUUCUAAUUAUUUAAUUGUUGCCCUUACAAUUGCAUACAUAGAAAUUAAUAAUAAUAAAUUUAGAAGGUUGUUAGUGAUUUAGUUUUUAGGUUUUACGUUUGUGAUUUAAGACAUUGUUUGUUUUAUGUUUGAAAUUGUGUUUUAAAAUUAUUUUUGGUUUGAAAAAAUAUUAAAGUGAUAUUUUUAAUGAUUUUAAUGUGUUAAUAUUAAAAAUAAAAAUAUAUAUAUAAAUAAUUAUUCUAAUACAAUUUCAAGUAAAAACAAUUUUAAAAAAUACUUUACAUUAUAAUACUAAACUCAUUUUAUUUUUUUAUUAACGUAGAUGUCCGAGGACCAGCUUGCGCGUAUCUCAACUAAUCUCACGGGCCCUGAAGUUAACGACUAUAUAAGUCUCCAGUGGCCCUGAAGUUUGUGAAACUCGAACUAGUGACCUUUAGGGAGCAAACUUAGAGUCUAACCAGUUGAGCCACACCCUUCAUAUCACUAAACUCAUUUUUAUUUGAACAAGUUGCUAGGCUGCUUAGAUCUAAAAUUUGAUUAAACCAUGUUGAUUGGAAUAGUUGAAGUCAUCAAAAUCCUUCUAGAAAAAAAAUGAAAAACGAAAAUUGAUUGUUUUAUUUCUUACUUGAAAAUAAAAAUAAAAAUUGUAUAUUAAUAUGAUGUCUCCAUAUUAAUCUAGUAAACAAUAAAUAUAACACUUAACUGGAUCAUCUUUUCAACGAAUUUAACCAUUAUGAUUGCCAGUAGAUUUGUGAUAGUUGGAGAUAUUAUGUAAGAAAUAAAAUCUGAUCAUAGGUUGACGUAAUAACCUAAUGUUUGAAUUUCUAGGUUUAUGAUUUAAUUGCACAAGUUACUGGACUGUUUAGAGUCAAGUUUUGAUCAAACCAUCUUGACUUAAUCGUUGAAAUAGUCGAAUUCUUAUUAGGUAAGAAAUUAAAAAGAGACAUUGAUUGUUUUAUUUCUUCCUUAAAAAUGAAAAAUAAAUAAAUUUGUGGGUCAAUCUCAUGACUCACAAGUUAAUUUAGGGAGUGAUAACUAGGAAAUUUAUUUCGAUUAUGUAUUUAAUUUUUUUUUGUGUUUCAAAAGUAUUUUAAAAAAUUAAUUUUUUUUAUUUUUUUAAAUUGUUUUUAUGUACUAAUAUUAAAAAUAAUUUUUUAAAAAUAAAAAAUAUAUUAUUUUAAUACAUUUCCAAACAAAAAAAUAAUCUGCCCACAAACACCAUCUUCAUUAAAUUUAAUAAUCAUGGCUGCUAAUAAAUUUGUUAUGAUUGGAGAUAUUGUAUUAGAAAUUCAUACAUACAUACAUACGUGUGUGUGUGAGAGAGAGAGAGAAGCAAGAACAACAAGUGUAUACGAAAUAGAAAUGUGAAAGAAUUGAAUACUAGAGGGGACGUCGACAUCAAGUGAUGGACGAAUUGUGCUUGUAUAAUGUUAAAUGUCCAUGACAGGUUGCAUCUACCUUGGAAGGUCUGCAGGGAUUGCGACAGCCAUGCCCCAAUUGACUUCCAUCGUUAUUUGCCAAUAAUGGCACUGUCUACAUGAAAUGAACUGAGAAUCAUUUUUUUCACAUGGUGUUUAGAGAUCAUCCUCGAUGGCGAUUAUGUACAGCAAUUCUGAACUUAGUUUCGAAUGCAAGCAUGUCCUCAGAACUUAGUUUCCUAUGCAAGCAUGUCCUCGAAUGCAAUUGAUUAAUCUGGUGCUCGACCCGUCACUCGAGUCUUGUGUCAAUUCGAAUCCCAAGUUGAGUCUAAUUAGUAUGAUUUGAGGUAACAAAAAAUAAUCAAAUAUAUCAGCAAAUGAAGAAUCCCCCAACAGGUACUUGGCAAGCUCUACAGAAAACAUUAAUGUCCAUCUCUUCAUAGAAGAGGAGAAAGGGGAGCUGGUGGGUGUUGAGCUUGGCAUCUGCCAUGUUCGAUUUUUCACUCCCCCUUUCUAUUUUUCUGGCUCUCCCUCUUUCUAAAUCAAUUGGCAUCUGCUCAAAAUUUCCCCUUCCUAUGUCUUGAGUCUUUGAUGAACUAGCCUCGAUAUCCAUCUCACUUUCAUUUCGAUUGGAUUCUUCUCUGACAAUCGAAUAGAUGGGGUUUUCAGAAAGGAGAUCGGUAUAUAGAGGGCGUACCUCAGGGUUGGAACAACUCAUAUGAGCAACAAAGUAGCAACCUUCACAAUAAUAGGCCCAAUCCCCCUUGUUCACUUUCUCCUCGCACAGCAGGAAACCGCUGUACAAUUCAUCCGAAACCCUGAUAUCCAAUGGAGAUGUUAGAUAGAAGGGAUGGUCAUGGCCAUGAUGUUGAACCUCACGUGGCAAUAAUCCACACCUGACAUGAAGGUAGAUGCCAAGCUCCUCACAUUUCAGAGCAGGGCCUUUGAAGUAUCACCACAAGCAUCGCACCGACAAUCAAUAGACUGGGUGGCAGUGAACAUUAAAUGCUGUAUUUGGUGAUCGCCUAAUUAAUUUGUUGCUGGAUAGGCUCGUGGUUCUUGACAGAUUGAUCUGAGAAACCUGCGAAACUUGAUUGAUUGACUUCAGACUCUUUUCCUAGUCAAUUCCCAGGUGGAGUCUGAUAACUAUGGAUACACUAGGAGUGCACUAGGAUCAUGUCACUGAUUGUGUUUGAUAAAUCCAUUGAGUUGAAUCAAGUGUUCUCGAUUUGACAAACAUGACUUGCCAUGUUCUGUACCAGUAAAAAGGGCAAAUGUUCAUUUUAAAAAUUGAUUGCUGGAGUUGAUUAUCAUGGAGCAUUUUACGUAUAAGAGGAGGAUAUUUCCAUUAAUGUCAUAGCCUUGUGCGAUUGGAUAGCUGCAGACCCCGGAUGGCAAAAACAAAACUGAGUAUUACACAAAUCUAGAAGCACAUUGAUAAGCAAAUCGUUUUGAUUUUUCAAAAACAAAGACAAAUGCAAGCAUUCUACGAUGUUUCAACUACAAGAAAUUUCAAUCAUUUUCCUGUUAGUAUUGAGCACACAUUUCUAAAUGGUAUAGAAAAUUCUCAAAUCCAUCUUCUAAUGCUUUCAGAAUAUGCUUCUGACGGCUUCAUCUUAAUUGGAAUCUGCUCAACCAGACCUGUCACCUUCCCUAUACAAGGAUACACCCAACUGAGAUGCACAGGAAUUAAGCAUUCAGCACAAUAAUAGACCCAUUGAUUGGGGUCUCUUUUAGUCUCACAAAGAUCACAGUGCCAUUCAUCAGACUUCAAAUCGUCUUCUAAUGAAUAUUCAAGGGUUAGAGGAUCAUGGUGGCAUUCAUGCUUAAUAGUAUGAAACGCAGGUGAAAAUCGCAUUCGUCACAUUCCAAUGUAAGGCCUGCACAAGGAUGGCAACAAGCAUUACAAAUGGGAAUAUCUUCAGUAUUUAUUCUGACCUAUGGUGACCUCUCAUAAUAACCUUCUAGUUUAACAGAUGCACGAUAUUCAAUGGCCGAAAAAUGUUCGUGACCCUCGUGCUUGUACUUUUUUGCAUCAGGACCUUCAUGUUUGUGAAGGCCGCUUAUGGAACCACAUCGCAAGUGGACCUCAAAUUUGCAGGUACCGCAAUGGUAGGAGAAGGCAAAAUUAUCUAGUUUACAUGCAAAACAAAUAGAAUCAUGUUGUUUUGACAGUAAGAUGAGAAGGUUUUUAUGGAUUUCUUCAGGAAACUCAACGCAGAUCUUGUGAAGGAACGAGUCGCAAGAUGUGCAAGCAUAGGUUAUGCCCACAACAGGUCCAUGGCAAGCUAGACAGGCAACGCAACAGCUCUUUUCCUCAUCAAAGAGGAAGGGGUGGUCAUGGUUGAAAAAUCUGAACUCUACCAUGUUUAUUUCUUCACUCUCCCUCUAUUCUUCUGGCUCUCUCGUUCAAAAUCUUUUGCUAUCAUCAGGUCCAUAGGUGAACGGACCAUAACCGUGUUUUCUGAUGUAGUUGCCUCGUCCCUCCUCUCACUUCCCUUCAUAUCACAUUUCUCAUUGACAAGAGAAUAAAUGGGGUUUUCAGAGAGCAAAUCAGUACAAGGAACUCGUACCUUAGAGCUGGCACAACUCACAUGAGCAACAAAGUAGCGACCUUCACAAUAGCAGACCCAAUCCCGCUGUUUACUUUCUCCUCACACUGGAAAAUCGCUAAUAGUUCAUCCGAAUCUUUUACAUCCAUGGGUGAUGCAAGUUUCUCAAGAAAGUAGAAAGCUCUUAUGACCCAUAGCAAAGAGACCCGUAACAAAAUCUGUCAGUUAAAAUUACACGACUGGAGAGGAAAUCAAUACACUCCAACAGGCAUUUUAUACUCUCCCCUGCAUUUUACAGAUUAGUUUAUCACAGCUUACUAGCAUGCUAAAAGAUAAUGUAAUUGCAGUGAGGCGUUUCAAAUAUAAUGGAUCAAUGAAACAAACAUGAUAAUAAUUUAUAAUCAAUCUGAGCUGCGCAGAUGAAGCAAAACGAUCAAAAUUUGUCAAGAUGAAUUGCUCUGAUGCUGAACAACAAUUUUCUCAAAUUUACAAAUCCUCUUUCACUACAGCACACUCAUCCUACCCCUGGAAGAGAAGGAAAAACACAACUCCAUGUAUACUUAGGUUUCCAAUGACAGUGUCACCCCUUCCUUUUUGUCAUCGAUGUGCGGCGUUCAGCUUCUCUCUCUGCUACCAAAACAUGGAACUCUGGCCCAAGCAUCUCAUCUAUUCCAAGAUUCAGUGUGCUGCUCAAGUCAAUAGUCUCCAGUAUCACUUCUAAAGUUACAUUAAAGCCCAAAAUUGACAAGACACGGAUAGCAUUUGCUAUCUGACAUAUGCUCCGCCUCGUCUCUAGUGGCAUUUCUUUGGUUGUAUUGGAUUUGGUGAUUUGUUGUUCAGUAUUGUUUAGUUGAUCCUCUACAAUACAGUCCCUGGCCUCGACAUGCUCACCAACCCAAAUGAACCCAUUACAUCCUAGUAUCAGGUCAACUCCAUACUGUUCCAAAUGAUGGAAAUGAUGUUUUUGUCUUUUCACUAGAUAUGGUGGAAUUGUGAGCAACUGACCCUUCUCAAGCUGUCAUGCAUAAAAAUAUCACUAUGAACAAGAAUGAUAAAAAUGGCAUAAAAUAAAACGAAAGACUACGCUGAAUAUUGACUUCAACUGAAGUACCAAUCAGAGAUAAUAGAUAAGAACUAUGUGCAGAUCAAUUAAUCAGUAGCAUUUGUAACUACAUUUUCAGAAGAAAAAAAAAGACAAGGCAGGCAAUAACAUUAGCAUGUUAAAUUAAUACCCAAAAACUCCCAAAGUGCCAAUUUUAUUUUUUUCUCUUUUCCAUUAAUUUUCCUUAUAUCCUGUUAAUAUCAUCCCACUUAUAGAUGGAUAUGCCAGAUAUCCUCAUGGGGAUUAAAAAUAUUAUUAAUAUGAAUUUUCUCUUUAGGGUCGACAUUGAUAUCAUUUUCACUAUCUUUUUCCUGCCUCAACCUUGUGGGGAGUUGUCCAGCUUAGUGGUCAAUUUCUAUGUGAAGGACUAGUUUAAGUGGACAUUUUAAAGGACACAAUUAUAGUACCCUUCAAUUUGUGAUUCUUUGUAAUAGAGUAAUAGACAAAAACGGAAAAGUUUGCCAACCCAUAAAAGCACAAUAGAAAAGCACUUUGGAUGUAAAUCAAACCUUUCCAUACUUCUGACUUCUUGCUUGCAAUUGUAUGCCACCAUCAUUCUGAAAAUUACGCACCUCACCCUGAAAAUGAGAAAAAAGAUAGUUGCUUAUAACAUUUACCUAUGCAUUUGCUUGACUUUUUGGUAAAACAUUGGUCGAUCACGCAGGAAAAUCAACAAUGCAUGACAACAGACUUACACACACAACAUCAUUCUCCUCAAAAAUACUGCGCAUGUUGAGUUCAUCCAAUGCAGUUCGCCGCCUCUAGCAAUCAAAGAUAUUGAAUGCGCGCAUAUUAGCAAAGCAAGAAAAAAAGCCCAUUUCAGAUCCUAAAUAUGAACAGAUAGAACAUAUAUUCCCAGCUUCUCAAACACAUUUCAUCUAGAAUUCCAAAUAAAAUAUUUUAGGAUCAAAGACGUGUAGAUAUGGAAGGGCCAUAGGAUAGUGCAAUAGAAAGCGGCUUGGGCAUGUAAACAAGAGGUUGCAGGUUUAAGCCAUUGUGCGUAAGUAGCCAUUUCAUGCCAAACAAAAGUGCUAAAUGGUAGGACCAUUCUUGAAAUUUUAUUUCCAGGGAUCCCAUAAAUGGGACAUCACGUUACAAAACAAAGUUCUAUAGUACAAUUCUCAUAGAAUACCUCUCCUCCUCAUCAAAACUCAAGAAGCAGGAGUAUACUGUGACAGAAUCACAUGAGACUAUAAAUCAUUUUAAGCCUGCGGUCCUUCAAAUUUUAAAGCAAGCUUUGACAAAAUCAACGGAGGCAGUCGGUGAGGAAUUUGCUAGUGUUUCAACACAAACCAUUAUCGCAAUUGAACAAAAGAUACGCAGAGGAAGCUGCGGUUCUUCUUUCAGUUUGCCAAAUAUUCAGGAAAAGCAAACCAAUUUACACAACAACUCCUUUCCUCUCCAUUUCAAUCAUCCAAAGAUGUUAUUAUGAUGGACCUUUCUCUUAUGUUUCCAACAUGGUCUUUAAAUAACGAAUGACUUCGUAAAUCAAGAUACAAAAUCAGCACCAAAGAUAUGCAUCUAAAAGAAGCAUAAUAAAGAGAGGGUUGAUACCUGAAGCCCAUCAGGUAAAUUCAUAGAAGAAAGCAUCAAAACAGCAUCUUGGCUGAAAUUAAUUUCCAAUUUCCACCGCUUUUGCGCUACCUGGAAAACAUUGAUAUAUUCAUGAUAAUUAAAAAAAAAUAAAACCCAUAAGACCCAUGAACGAAUGAAAAUCAUUUUCAAUCUUCCAAAUUCCAAUGAUACCUCAACAACACGCCCCACUAUGAUAUCUCCAAUCUCUGGCUUGUACCUAACAGUCAAUAAUAAGUAAUUAAUUUUAUUUUAUUUUAUUUUAUUUUACCAUUAUAAAACAAUGAUGAAUGGAAGUAAUGUGAUUAUACCUGGCACGCAACGUGCGAACAUACACUAAUUUGUUAACACGCUCCACCACACCACAGAGCGUCGCCACCACUUCUCCGUCGCGCUCAGAGGUGCCAUGACCCCUUCAUUUAAACACAAGAAAGUUAGAUACUUUAACAAAACAUAAAAUAAGAAGUUCAAGGGAAAAAAAGAGAGAGAGAAGCGCAUACUUGAGGAUGGUGUCUUCGUUGCUAACGGGGAUGGUAUCGGCGACAGUUACAGAAGCAUUGAAGUUGGCUCUCAAAUACAAAGAUUCUAGCUGUUUCAGAGCUCUCUGCAACCUUAUCUUUUGGGUUUGAUUCAAUGAUAUCUCUAUCCCUCUCAUUUCUCUGUCUCAACCCACUAAUCAAUCGGAUUUGGGGGCCGCCGCAGCUUCUGUUUCCGGGAAACAGAGGGGCUUUGAUAGGAUGAAGAGAGAGUUGCGGCAAGGGUAGGGUGCUUCUCUCACUGUUUCUUUAGGAAAGGUUGGUUCUUUCGCGAUAUAACAGGAAGUGAAAGCAACGGCGCUGGUGCUGGUGCUGGCUAAUUUCCUCUGAAGUGAAAGCAACACUCCGCCGGACGUUGUCAGGUUGGCCGCCGACUGCCGGGGAGAAGGGGAGAGGGUCUGAGAGCUAGCUUUGAAGAGGUGAGAGUGAAGGGGGCGGCGAGCUAUAAAGACCAAGUUUUUGUAAAUUUAGUUAUUGGUAGUCCCUACUUUUGUAUACAAUUAUGAAUUGGCUCUUUAUUUAUGACAAUUACAUGUUAAUCCCUCGACUCAAAUAAAUUAGGGGUUUCAAUCAUGAAGGAUUAAGUUGUAAUUGCAUUAAAACCCUAUGGACUAAAGAAUAAUAUAGGAAAAACCUCAAAAAAGUCUCCAGUCUAUAGAGAUGGUUUCAAUUAGGUCCCUAAUUUCUCCUUUUUUCUUACCAGAAUUAGGACUCCUACAUAUCUUUUGGAUGCUCAAUUAGACUAUUUUGCUACUUCAAGUUAACAAAAUAAUUAAAUAGUCAUGUUAAAAAUGUUUUUUUAUUCAAUUUAAAACUCUACUUAGAUUAGAGUUCGGGUAGUGGGUUUUACGUUGAAAUUGAACAAAUUCAUGCGUGGUCCCUCAAAUGUUAAUAAUUAGUAAUCAAUCUCUUUUGAAUUGAGAUUGCAUUUUAUCAAAUCAAAUCUCAUAGUUCAAAAUCUAAUUGAUUGAGUCCUUGUAUCCAGCCUUUGCUGUUAUUCCCGUUAGAUGAAUGCUACUUGUACGCAUGUACAAGUGGAUUGAAAAAUUCAAUCAUUGGUAAAAUUAAAGGAUUAGUUUGACCAAAAGUAAAGUAGAGGACUUGAUUUGACAAACUUUCCAUACUACAGGAAUCGAAUGUGAUUUUACCCGACUAGAAUACUCUAAAUCGACAAUUAACAACCAUUUGGUUUCCUAACGGACCAAUCAGCUUGGAACACGUACACCCACAAAACCCUUCAUCAAAAAACACACUCAGUCAGAGAGAGAGAGAGAAGCAGAGAAAGCGAAACAGCGAGAGAAGUUCAGUGCUUCAAUGGCGUCAGGAGGAGGAGGAGGGAGUGUAGAGUGGCACUUGAGACCACCAAACCCUAAAAACCCAAUCGUCUUCUUCGAUGUUACAAUCGGUACCAUCCCUGCUGGUCGUAUCAAAAUGGAGCUCUUCGCUGAUAUUGCCCCUAAAACCGCCGAAAAUUUCAGGUUUUUCCACUCUCCUGUCUCACUUCCUUGCAUCAAAAUUAAUUCUCGUUUUCAUUUUUAUUAAAUUCUUGAAUUAUUUUUUUUUAUAAAUCUUGCAGGCAGUUUUGCACAGGCGAGUACAGGUAAAAAAAAAUCACUCUCUUUUUUUAUAUAAGUUUUUAAAUAUUUUUUGGGUAAUUGGAAUAGUUAAUCACAUAUCAUGUAAUUAAUUUAUUUGAUUUUGAAUAAAAAAAAUUGGCAGAAAAGCUGGAUUACCUGUUGGUUACAAAGUAUGUCAAUUUCAUAGAGUGAUUAAGGAUUUUAUGAUUCAAGCUGGUGAUUUUCUCAAGGUUUGUUUUUUCUUUUUUUCAGUUUUAUAUAAUUAUUUAAUAUUUUCUGUUUACUUGAUUAGUUACUUACUAUUGGAAUUUUUUACUUGCAGGGUGAUGGUAGUGGUUGUGUUUCUAUUUAUGGGCUUAAGUUUGAGGAUGAAAAUUUUGUUGCCAAACAUACCGGCCCUGGUCUACUUUCAAUGGUAUCCAUUUUUCUUGGUAUAUAAAUGUGUCCCAUCUUGUUCUUACUAUUGGGUGAUUUUUGCUUUUCUUGUUGUUAUUAGAAGAUAAUGCAUUUAUAUGGCUUGUAUCAUUUCUUCGAUUCUCCUCUUAGAUUUUUCUCUGCUAAUCAUCACAAAUAAUUUGACGCUUUAAUAACUUGUGAGAUCCUGUGGUGUAUAACCAGUAAGUCUGUUUUGGAAACUUAGUUUUAUUGACUUGAAAUUUUGUCGUUAAGAUAGAUAAGAUAUGGGGUUCGUUCUUUUUUGAGUUAGUAGUAGUUUUUUUUAACUUCCUUUGGAUAAUUCUCGUGUAUAAGGAGGUGGAGUUUCUUAAUGGGUAUCUCGCUUAGCAUAUUUCUGUUUUACUGAUAAAAGAAUAGAUGGAAUGGCUUGAUUUAAAUCUAAUCGUAGGGGAAAAACUUAAGAGGGGAUAGUACCCAUGUGAUUCGACUACUUGUUGCCAGCUUCAUAAAAACUCACAAGAUUAAAGUCCUUACUAGAGUUGUAUAUUGCUUAGAAUCCAUGAGGUCAAUAUGAGUGAAGGUGUAAGAGCCAAGAAUACCUCUGAGAUGUCUCAAAUUUCGUUAUGAUUAUGUUUAUUUGGAGAACACCAUGGGUAGAAAUACUAACUUUGAUGGGGUAACUUGAAGAAUCAUGACCAGAUUUUUUGUUUUUUUGUUGUGACAAGGAUUUCAUCUUCGUCAGUGUCCAGUCUCUAAAUGACUUCAAAUGAAAAUCCUCUAAACACAAGCUCCCAAAAUAUCUAUGCAAGCCUUUGUAGAUUUAUUAUCAACUAUCAUUACCAUUUGAAUUUGAAGAUUGUGCUUUAUCACUAAAAAUGAAGGCCUCAUUGUUCCAUUUGCAGGCAAAUAGUGGGCCAAAUACCAAUGGUUGUCAGGUACUCUGUUUUAUCACUAACAACGAAGACCUCAUUGUUCCAUUUGCAGGCAAAUAGUGGGCCAAAUACCAAUGGUUGUCAGGUACUCUCUCUCUCUCUCGGCUGCUAGAUGUUCUGAAAGUAUGAAAUAAAUUGGUGUAUGUGAAGAGGUGUCAAGCCUUGAAUGGACCUUUUUCUGGCAUUUCAAGUUUUCCAGUUUGGUGGAUUGGAAAUUUUAGUAAGCAUGGCGGUGAAUAUAUUAACUUCAUAUUGCUCCAUUAAGCUAGCUGCUUGCGCGUCCUAUCUUUAAAUUUGCACUUAGUUGUUUCCCCCCUCAGCUGCCUACAUUUACUCCCAGAUAUGAUUACACUUGGAAAGCUAAGCAUGCAGUUUCUGUGCUUUAAUUCCCCCCAUUUAGCUCCGCUAACUACUUCAGACAUGUUUGGUUUACUCAAGAAUUGGGAAUGGAAUGGGAAUUCAUAUAAAAUAUCUCAUUUCUUAUGAAAUCCUAAUCUUUGUUAUUGACGAACCAAUUGACAGAGCUCAUGGAACAGAAAUGCCCCCCAUUCUAUUCCUAAUUUCAGGCAAAUUAAACAUGGCUUAGGAUUUAGCAGCAUUGCUCUGAAUGAGAGUUCUCAAGAAGGUCCCUAUACAUUCUGCUGUUUUAUCCCUAAGUUAACACACACAGCACUCACGAUUAUAUUGAUUUGAACCUUCUUUCCUUGUAGUUUUUCAUCACUUGUGCAAAAUGCGACUGGCUUGACAAUAAGCAUGUUGUAUUUGGGGUACGUCUUCAGAUUUUCAUUUAACAUUCUUUUUUGCUUCUCUUUGCCCUUGUAAUUGAUCAGUCGAAAACUUCAAUAUUCUACCGGCAUCUGAGAUUCCCACCUCACUACGAUUUCGUUUUCUGUCGUUAUAUAGAGGGUGCUUGGAGAUGGUCUUUUGGUUAUUCGAAAGAUAGAGAAUGUGGCAACAGGACCCAACAACCGACCAAAACUGCCAUGUGUUAUUGCAGAAUGCGGAGAAAUGUAGAGGUUGAGUUCAAGAGGAACAUUUCUUUAGGACAAUAUCAUCAUCUUAAUUGACUACUGACCUUUGACCUCCCUAAUGGAUGGGUUUUUGUAUUCCUUCUCAAAAUGGUGGCGGGGAGGGAAGAACUGACUCUCUGAAUGCAUUAACUACAAGUAAAAAAAAAGAGUUGUUUUCAUGUUUUCUGCUUCAGUUUCUGAAGUGAGUGUUAGAAUGGAUAAUUUUUGGGUUGGAUAGGAUAGAUGUGAGAUGCUUUAGAUUUUUGUAUUUUAGGGUAUGGUUUUGAUUGUAAUUUCUGAAAAAAACUUGUGAUUGGAUAAAUCUCGAGCACAGAUCAUUUUUAUUUGGAAAAGUGCAUUUUAGUCCGUACAUUUCCCCAAUAUUUCCACUUCCACUCCCAUUUUUAUAUCUUCUCUUUCUUGUACGUACCUCAUUUUCUAAAUAUUACUAAAAUCUUAAAAUGUCAAUGAGAAAAUAAACUCUUAAAAAAUUAUUAAAUGAUAUAGUAACGUAUAUUUUUAGUUUUGAAAGUAAUGUAUAUAGUUAAAUCAAAAGUAAUAAUUAAAAUAACUUUAUUCCCUAUUCAUAUUUUAAAUGGACAUCUCAAGUGUAAUAUGAAUUUCCAACAUUUUUGCAUGCCUAAGUUUUAUAUAAUACCAUUACUAUUUUGAGAUUGCAAUACUAUACACAAAUCCAAUGUAAUUAAAAUCUGAAUAAUUGAUGUUUUUGGAAAGUAAUGUAGAAUGUGAUCGGUUCCUGUGCCUCUGGAAGUGUUUGGUGGAAGCUAGUUAGGGUUUUUCUGAUCACUGAUAGACUUCUUGUUAAGCUCCAAGGUCAGAUUCGAGCGCCAUGGCAGAGUCCUUUGAUAUACUUGCUAUAUUGACAUCUUCAGCUCUUAGGCUGCUAAACGCAAUGAGAUCAUGGAAUGGCUUGAUGAUCAGCCUGAAAAUUCCCUUGAUCUACAAUAUUGAAUUAUGAAUUACGAUGUCACUUCAUUCUAAUACUGAUUUUUUUUAUUUCAUGGUUAAGAGAUAUCAUCAAAUGUAUAUAACUUUUUUAAAAAAAAUCACUUAAAUAUUUACUUCUGCCUCAACCACAAAUUCAUUUUUUUUUUUUUUUGUUAAUAAAACAAUUGGAUAGUUUUGCCCAGAUCCCAUUGAAAACUCUCUUGAACCUUAAUUAAAACAAAUUAUAAUUUAUAAUUUUCAUUAAAUUUAUCAUUAAAACUAUCAGUGUCAAAUACAUGCUUAAUGUCCUUUAAGAUAGCAUUUGGUACAUGGUGCUGGAUCCAUAUUUCUAUCCCUCCAUCUUUAAAGAAUAAUCUUGUUAUGUUCAGUUCUAUUUACUCGCCACACAAACCCUAAAUAUUUUUAGAUUACAAAUAUAAACAUUGAACAAGCAUAUACAAUGGGCCAUGAAAAACUUAAUAAAUUUCACUGAUUGUUUCGUGUGACAGGUUCAAGAGUAGGCUGUCAAAUUUUUAGAACUAAAGGUGAAGGAUUGCAAGGGUCAAGAUGAAGUUUGCCGGGCUAGAUUUGUUGCUGAAGUUGCAUGCAUAACAAAAUAAAAAUUAUGUUGUUAAGGCAAAAUAUACAGGCUUCAACGAUAGAAAGUAGGCUAACCAAGAUAAAUAAAUUAUCUCAAAAUGAAAGUGUCCCAACUUUCAAAUUCAUUUUGAAAUUCUCAAGUACUGGGGAUAACGAAAACAGGAGGAGGAGGAGGAUGAGACUAUAAAUAAUUAACAUCGAUGCAUACUGUACUUGAAAGAUUCAAUUCUAUGCUCUAAGAUGAUUAGUAUGACAGAAAGAACAGUACCAUGAUACAUCUGAAACUACAACAGGAGAGAUGCAGAAAAGAAAAGGUAUUUUGAACACUAGAAACAUGAAGCCCUGCUGGAUGUGGAAUGUGGCUUUUAGGGUUUUCCUGCGCAACUUGUAUUCAGAUGCAAUGCGUAUUCACUCUUUAGGUCGCGCGAGCCAGAGGGAACUAAGAGCGCGUAAACGGGAAAAGUAAUCGUGUAUUGCAAGGAGAGCACGAGCAGACUGACGGGUGGUUAAUAUUCGGUGCAUUUGUUGUAAGGUUUGCUGCCUCAAAUUGUCAGCCUGGUUUUAUAAAACCCCAUUAAAAGAGAAGUGCUUUUGAGACAUGAUACUAGGAAUAUAGGGGCAAAGAACAGAAAGAAAUGGCAAACCAGAAAGACUCGAAAUUGUAGCUGAUUUAUGAACUCUUGACCAUUAUACAAAUUUCAAGGUUUUAUGGAAUCUCUAUGUUAUAGAUGACAAAUAUAAAAACAAUUAGAAGCAUACCUGGCGAAUAAAUCCCUCAAGGGUACCUAGCUUUCCCAUGGCCAUGGCCAUCUGACCCAUGUAAUUUGCCACAUUUCCAGAUGGCCCUGAGGAGCCAAGAGAUCCGCUGGACAAAGUCUCAGAGAGGGACUGCUGCAAUGCCUCCAUCCCUUGAGAUAAUGCAUCUUCCGCCUGUUGGGAGGACUGCUGUAAGUUGCCAAUGCCCACCAACUGCUGCUCUGUUAAAGGCUCCAAUUGAUUCAUAAGAAGCUGCAACCAUGAUCACCAAAUUUUAUCAUGUUCUCAAACGAAAAAAGAAUAUAGGAGGUAUUGUGCUCUGAAAGGAGCAGAGGGCACCACCCUAAGAAAAGAAUUGUAAAAAAUAAAUCAAUCCAUCAAACUAACAAGAGAAUGAAAUCUGACAUACACAUGGUAUAUGCCAGUCAACAGGUUUAACCAGGAGAAAGGCUGUGCGCUUUCCCUUUUAAAAUGCACAAACCAGUGCAAACAAAUGGUUUAAACUCAAACAAUUAUGCCUGCUUGCAAAAGCAGGCAUACAUGCACAUGAAAAAGGAAGCAGGUACAGUAAGAAAAUUCCCUCCUUCGCUCUGCACAAAGGAAAGCCAUCCAUACAUCCAGGGUUAAAUGAUGCCACCCUCCAGCGGCCUUCAUUCCCAACCUUGUCUUCUAAGAUUAAUUUCAUGCUAAACAGAUAUAUAUAUAUAUAUGUUUACUCAAAUAAACAUGCCCGUGUACAUGUCUGAAUAAUAUAAUGUUACUGAAACACUUUUUUCCACCAAACGAAAUUACAAUACAAACAAAACAUUUACAAACAGCCUUGCUAGGGAAACACAAAUGGUACAAAUGAAAUAACCAGCCUUAACAGCAUGCUCGGAAGAUAGGCAACAAGAUACCAAAACUUGAUGAUAACAUCCUUCAAUAUCUGAGAACAGAAAACUUCAAUCUCAGAGCUGAGAACAAGGGAGGCCUAUGUGAGCCUAUAAGUUAUAAUAACUUGCAGUUCACCUUAGAACAUCUAUGAUAUAAAGUGUUGGUUCAUCAUUUCUUUUUCCAAAUAUCAAGUAGUUCAUAACCUCAUACAAAUUUCCAAAUCUUCUUUCUUUUCUUUUGUUUCCUGCACUUUUUUAAUUCUAAAUAGAUUUGAUGCCAAGAACAAACCGAGUCAUACUGAUCUGGGCUUCAGAUCAGAGUUUAACAAGUGAAAUAGAAACGGGAUGAAUCCUAUAUCAGAACUUACUGUUAGGGAUAAGUCAAAGAACCCCUCAACUAAGUGAAGCUCCAUGAAUGCUUUUACAUUAUAUUUCUCUAACAGAUUAAACGUUAUGCUGUCAAGUACAGCAUCCUGCGAACCAAAGAACUUUUUAACUACCAGCAAAUGGAUUUAGCGGUACAGUAUGAGACUCAUCUACAAUCCCAAGCCCUCUCCCAUGAAAUUCCCAACUAAUUUGUUUUUUUUACAUACAAAUUUGCAGUUUUACACCUUCACCCUGCUAGCUAGUGCAUUGAUAAUAUCGACUCUUUAUUAAUGAAUUAAAUGAAGAAGAACAAAAAAUACAUUGUUCUUGCGAUUCUUUUGUUCUGUGCAAGAUUAUGAUACUGAUUUUAAUACUCUUGUAAUGCCACCUCUCCUAGAACUGGACUAACCCUAGCAGGUGGAAAACAUUGAAAGCACAAUAAACUCACCUUGAGGAGCUCAGAUGAACGGAAGCCACCAAGCCACAAAAAACACCUCUCUGCAGGUGUCUUCCACAUGCCAGACAGCAAAUGGAAAACAUCAGCCUUGGCUGCGUUGCUCUUCAGCUUGAAAACUUCAUCAUAGUGAGCCAUUAUACCAUCAGUGAUAAUACGAAGUUCUGCAUCACCAGCAUGAGAAUUGACAGCUGAUCUCAACUCAUUAAUUUGUCGAUUUUGCUCCUCCAGCCAUCGUGCAUAUUCUACAUCAAAUGCCAUGGCCCCUGCAAAAAGAUACAAUUAACCAUCUAAUUUGCCAACAUGCAAAUGUGUGUGAGCUUAAACCCUAGAAAUGAAAAUAACCAAUGAAAUUUGAGGUCAUUUCAAUGUAUAAAUGUAGAGCUCGCAGCAUGAUCAUUGGUUCAGUCAAGCAGCCAUGACAAUGUGGAACUCAUCCAACAAUUCCAAGAUAUCAAACAUCUAGUUGAUUCCCAAAAAUGCACACAUUUCAAACAUUGAAUCUUGCAUAGGGAAGAAACUUUGGCAUUACCAUUUCCACUCAUUGAAUGAGUUUGGUCUCCUGAGCUUGAUAUGAAGAUUCCCUAUUAGAGAGAAAUUCAUUGAAAUGACACACCUCAAAAAAGGAUGCUUAAUGAACAAACUGAGAUCAUUACACGAUGUACAAAAUAGGAUUAGCCAAACCUAACCUGCUGCCGUGCCCGUUGGAGCUCCUGUUCCAGUUGGCUGAGCUUCAAGCGGCUACUCUCCAGCUGCUGGACAUAUGCCUAUGGAGACACAACAAAAGAUGAAAGUAAGAUUAUUAGAAGAAAUGUUACUAGGCACUUAUGCAAUGUGUAAUAGACAAAUCAGAAGAUUGCAUGAAAAAAAAUCUUGCAUGGUUGCAUCAUAAAAAAGUCCAUUCAAAGGAUGCACUCCCCCCCUAUAUGCUGUAACAGGCUGUCGCUGAAAAGGUUCGUCAGAAAUGAAAACAAGUAUAAGAAAAAGAUGAAAAACAUACUUUCUUCCUCAAACGGCUUUUUCUUGCAGCUUCUCUAUUUUGAGCAAGCCUGCGAAGAGUCUGCGAAGUGUAAUCAAACAAUCGAUCAUCAACUACAACUAGAUAGAGUAGCAUGCAGUGAAUGCAAUUAACAUAUAAUAUUUUCACCUUCUGGUCCAUUUUGUCCCUUGUUCUGUCACUGGAAUCAGAUGCCACGAGAGCGGUAGAUUGACCUCUAUCAUACUGCACACAUAUGAUUUUUAAGUGUUAGAAUGGAAUUGAUUUGGUAAGUUUUCUAAUGAGCAGAAUGAACAAUGCCAUUGCCUUCAUCAAGCAAAAGAAGAAAUGAAUGUUGGGAUCCAAAAGGAAUGGUAAACCAGGAUUCUUGAUUACAGGUACUUGUUAAAAAAACAAAAUAAAAUAAAACUAUUGAAAACAGGGUGGCACCUAUGCAAAUUUAUAGUUUCACAGAACUGACUUCACACUAUCAUUUCACAGGAGUAUAGGGCAAGAAAAACAGCACCCUUUGGUUUUUAUCGUCUGUGUCUGCAUCCGUUGAGAUAUCAGUCCUUGGACUAGCAUCAGCCAUAUUGGCCUCCCCCCAGUUCUCUGUAUUAACACUUGGUAUAGAAACCCGGUUGGACUGUUGAACCUUUUCUAAUGGCAACCUCCGAUUCUCCCCCCAGUUUUCUGUAUCAACAAUUGGUAUAGAAACCUGGUUUGACUGUUGAACUUUUUCUAAGGGUAAUCUAUGAGACUCCACUUGAGAAGCAGAUGACUUAAUGUUAAAUGAAGUAGUAGACUGUUUCUGCAAAGUCAGAGAACAGGAAAAAAUGAGCGGAAGCAACUAAACAGGCAAAAUAUCAUGUAUCUGAGAAAUUCACCUUCUCGAAAGUGCCACUAUGGAGGCGGUCAGAAGGGAUUGCUUGAGUACUUUCUUUUGCUGAAUUGAACACAGUACCUGUAGUGACACAUCAGGUUAUCACUUUUAAUUCUAGCUGGUUGAACUUUUCAAAAAAUCUAAUUGUUUUUUUCUUCUUACAACAUAUGCAGAGUUAUUCAUUUCAAUGGAUUACAAAUUUUCUUUUUGUUUAUUAUAGACUUAUUUUUUCAUUGUGGCUCCCAUGGGGAUCGCUCAUGGCAUUUGAAAUACUUGUCAAAUGCCAACAACCGUGGUAGAAAAAGUAGUAGCUCCAUAAUCGUUUUCUAUACACUGGAAUCAGUAUUGUCUGGAUUUAUUUCUCCCACUCUCUUUCCAUAAAAAACUAUUGGACCUGAUUUUUCUUGUGAUGACUUUCAAAGCAUUACUAAAUUGACCACUCCUGGGAAUUGUUUCAAUUAGAUCGAUAUGGCCCUUGGUUCUAAAAUAUAUUGCACCCUAGCAGUGCUUUUACACAAAAUAACUUGCCUAGACCACCCCUAAAAUUUUAAGGUUAGCAGGUCAUUUUGCGAUAAGUCAAUAUGAAGUACACUAGACACUUCAAAUUAAGAUCAAAGGAUGGUGACGGUUGGUUAAUGAAAUUUACCCCCGUACAAAAACAGUAGAUUGUAUUUUUCUUCAAAAUAACAAUGUUCCAAUGAAUUUCUUUCAGCGCGAUUAAAAAAAAAUUAAUGAAAAAUUUAGAUCACCAAAAAGUUAUGGGCAGAUAAAAUUUAAUUAUAUAAUGUAAUAGAUGAAAGAGCAUGACAAACCAGUUUUAGAUUAGCCCAUUACAAGUUGGAUUACUCAACACUUACCUGCACUCAGGUCAAUAGCAUCGUCUUCUAAGAACACCCCAAAAUCAGUAACACGGUAAGGAUGAACUGUGCUUCUCUCUACACUGAUGAAAUCCAUAAUUGUCAACAAAUAAGUACCAAGAAUUUGUUGAGUAAUACAAUUUUACAGCCAAACAGCAUCAAGCAUGAAGUAAUACCAUCAGUUCAAACAAGCAAAUAUUUUGUUGCAUUUUCCUCUUCAAACCAGUAAACGCGUACAUCUAAACCAAAAAUCUUACAAUGACCUUCCAGAUUUAACAAUAGAGAGUAUACUACAGUUACUGGACCCAUAAAGGAGAGAGAAGUAAAGGAAAGGGAUAAGCGCAGACAGGUUUAUCAAUUGAACUACUUGAGAGCAUUUCUAUCUUCAACCCUAGAACUAAGGAAAAAUGCAAAACAGCCUCCAGAAAUAAUGUAGUUUGUUUGAUUUAUAUGUCAAGGUACUUAACCCUUCCCAGCCCCACCUGCCCUUCUCUCUCGCAAUCAAGUUCCUCUUUAACACUUGCAAGAACAUUUAGCAAAUUACAAAUGCAAUUAAACUUAGAAGUUAGAAUAGUGUGCAAGCUACAUAACUUGGCAGAGUGAUGGAGCAUGAAAAUCAUUCAUUUGUAACUAAUGCAAGAAAAGCUUUUAUGAGAAUAAACAAAUUACAUUGCAUACUCAAUAUCUGGAAAGCACAUUUUCAAAUAAACAAAUUACAUUGCAUACUCAAUAUCUGGAAAGCACAUUUUCAAAAUCAUUCGAUCCCAAUUUUUUGAAGCUACCAAUCAAACAAAGAAACUCCUGGUUAUUGCACCCUGGACUACCAAUUUUUGACAAUAAGUUCGCAAUGUAGUACCAAACCACUAGAAAUGAUUUCUGAUGUGAGUACAAGACACCCUAAACAUGUUCAAGUUCUUGAACCUACUAUUGGUUAUAUACAUAUUAGUAGACAAAAACACAAGAACAGCAGAUUAGGCACAAAAAAAUCCAGUGUUGAAAGAUGAAUAAUGAAUGAAAAGUUAAAUUGAAACCGUAUACAAAAAGUGAUAGAAGGAGAACUGUACAUUGCAUUUGAGAUUGGCAACUGAGGAUCAAAGCUCGGCAUCCCGACGGCCUUCUUCUCAUCUUCUGCAUCAGUUCUACUCCCCAUAAAUCGCCGUCAUUUUAACCUCCUUAGUCCCCUUCAAACAAAUUGGCACCCCAAAUCACUAACUAGAACAAAAGGCAAGAUGUAUCACUAACUUCUUUUAGUAAAAACAAUCGAAGAGACAAAAAAAAAAGAUAAUAAAAACUAAAAAUAUAUUGAGAAACAAAUAUACAGAAUAGGCUGAAUUUUCCCUUUUAACAGAAUGCAACAUCUAACAAUAUUAGUGCAUAUACAGCAAUAAAUAACACAAAACUAACUUGAAAAUCCAUUCUGCCAAACUCAGCAAACUCUACAUUAUCCGUCAUCCAAAAUAACAGAGUAUGCCUCUAAAGCUCCAAUUUAAUUCAGAGCUGUGCUACACAUUACCAUGAAAUAUUUAGUUAACAGAAUCUUGAGGAUUGUUUGGCUAAUGUUAAUAGAUUUUAGAACAAAUCAGCAUCAGGCUAACAACAAAGUGAAGAAAAAAGAAAAGGUGGUGCUCGUGCUCACAGAUACUCUUACCCGCAUCAACCAAAGUUGGUUAUCGCACCAGCUAAGUUUGUGAGACCAGACAAUAAUUCCAUACAUCGAAUUCAACAAGAACAAGCAAAAGAAAAAGGGAGAGGAGAAGCAAAACAAAGUCAAAGAAAUCUAAUCAGAUAACUAAUCAAAUGUACAUAUAUGGGUCAUCCAUUAACAAAUCAUACUAUCCAACCUUGUCCAUCAUCUCACAUGACACACAGAAGAGAAAUCGAAGAGAGUCGCUUCAAAACCCUAACAACAUAACUUUCAACCCAAAAUUGAACUUUAGUAUCUACCUAAGCUUGGCCACUCUGUAGCAAUACCAGAUGCCAAUAUCAACCCAAUAGAACAGUAAGAUCCCCAGAUACAGAAGUUACUUAAAAUUAAACUCAUCUAUUCAGCAAGCAGCACACAAUUUGCACCAACUCAAUAUGCAGCAACAGUGGAGAAGAACAUUACAAAACCCAGAAUUCAACAUCCACAAAAUGCUCUAAAAAAGAGUAGGGAGCAAUUCAACAAUACCCUGAAGCCAAAACUUGAUGUACAAGAGACAUAAAACCCCUGAUAAUGAACAACUUGUAGAGAUCAAAAUUGUACCCUAAGAUGUAAAGUUCCAAACUUUCACCAAUCCCCGAGUCAAAAUCAAGCUGAAACACUGUAAAACCCCUAAAUUCAUCACCUUCAAAUAUCAAGGAGACUUUUAACACAUUAAGCAUAAAUUUCACACCAAACUAAAAAUACCCAGAGAACCAAAACCAACAAAAACCUCAGAAAACCUCCAAUUCAAGCUUAAAAAAGAAACAACACAAAUUCACCUACUUUACUAUCAAGCAGCAAACUGUCACUUCAUAAAUAAUAAUUCUCUAGUCAAAAUCACAGCAAAGUAUGAACAACAAAGCUUAAGAAGGUCAAAAUUCCACCUACUUCGCUAACAAGAAGUAAACUUUCACUUCAUAACAUGAUUUUUUUCUAGUCAAAACCACAAGAAAAUUUGAACCAAACCAAAUCCACCUGGGAUUUUGUUGUUGCUGAUGAUAUAAAGCUUUCAACUUCGCGAAACUGUAUGUAUUGGAUUAUUAGAUGUGAGAGAAGAGUGAUGAGUGGAUCACUCGAAUCUCUAGACGUCCUCUUCUGCGAGAAAUCUUCCACUUUCCAAGGACUAAAGAUUUUUUAAUCACUUUAAUAAUGCUUUAGUGCUUUGACAUCAAUUGUUUUUUAGUGUUUAUUAAAUUUUUUUGCUGUUUACUGUGUCAGUACACUGUAACAAUACAGCCAAUCUUGCUCACUGAUUAGUGACCAAAGCCUUGGAUCCCUAUCUGGUUAAUGUUAAGACAAGGUCAGUGCCAGCUAAUCACUCUAAUUCUGCCACGUGUAAAAUCCAGAGAUUUUUGCAGUAAUUGGAAAUGUUUCUGUCUUUGCCAAUUGAGAAUUUUGGCUGACACGGAUUGGUAAUGAUGAAAAUUAGUGAUUUCUUAGUUUAAUAUUAAUUUUUUACUUUUGUAAAUUACAUAGGCGCUAGAAACAUAAGUUAUUAAACUAAAUCAAAGUCACGGUUUCUGAAAUAAGAUAAGUUAAUGAAGUUGAUUUAAAAUUAAUCAAAAUAAUAUUAUUUUAAAAAUUAAUUAAAUUAAUCAGAUUUAACUGAUCAAAUAUAAUAAAUAUUUUAAAAACGUGGAUUCAAGUUCUUUUACUUGUCAUGUUUUUUAUAUAAUUUAUUUGAUUAUAUUAAGUAAUUAAAUAAAUUUAUCAACAUAGAAAUAGAGUUUUAAAAACGUGGGUUCAAGUUAGACUCUCAGGUUUGACUUAGUUUAAGACUCGAGUUAUUGGUCCUGUUUUUAAUUUAUGAGUUGCUAGUUAACUCUAAUUUAUCCGAAAACAUAUUAUUUUGGACAAUUUUUCUCAAAAACAAAGGCUACAACCACAAUAUUUUGAACAAAACAAUAAAAAAAUUCUUGAAUUGAUAUGGUUAGAUAUCUAAACAAUUUAUAAUUUAGUUCUUCGAAAAUUUGAUUAGAUUAACAUUUAAAAUGAUUCAAGAUAAAAUUAUAGGUCAGAUUUAUUAUCUAUCAACUCAUAAUACCAUACCAUGAUUAACAAUGUCCAUACUUUAUCAGCAUCCAAUUUUCUUUCAUGGGAAGACUAUAUAGCGUGUCAAAGGAAACCUAAAAUAAAUAUAUUUGAUCUGGGAUUUUGGAUAAGUCCACGGAGGCUUUCCAUAAUUGGCUGGUUACUUGUUGAGAUAGAAACUUGUUGUCCACACCUGAAGAAAGAAGCUUGGAUACUGAAUUAUACUUUCACUUUAAUCAAUCUCUCGUCUUCACCAUCACUGGAUCUAACCGCACCAUGUUUUUAUUGACAUCGAACCGAGGCUGCAUGCAGAGGUGGAUACGAGGCUAGCAUGUUUCUUACUCAAUUCGUGCUUUGUUUUACUUUUUAAAUCAUUUGUUAACAUAUCGUUUUCUCAUGCAUUUGCAUUUUGUACCAGGGAUAUAAAAACCCGUCUCGGGUUAAUUCAGGGCAAACCUUGGAUUACAAACCAAAAGGAUUAACUCGGUUGACCUAAUUUAAGAAAAUAACAAUAUAGUUUCAAUGAAAAAUCAAUAGUUUUUAAAUGAAUAUUAUAAAAUAAUAUAAAUCAUAUUCUGAGAUUUCAUCUAACAACUUAAAUUAUUGGGUUGAGAUGGUUCUUUGAUAUGGUAUCAGAGUUUUAAUGACCAAACGGUAACGAGUUCGAAUCUUAUCAUUCCUAUUUAUCUGAUAAAAAGUAAAGACAAGAUAAUGUAAGCACAUACAAGUUUCACGUUUAAAAAACUUUUACUUGAGGAAAUAUAUUAAAAAAUAAUAUAAAUUAUAUCUUGAGAUCUUACCUAAUAAUUUUCAUAUAAAUUUAUUGAUUUUUGUGUUUUAAUUUUUUUAAUAUAAGACUUUAUGUUGUAUACGAAGAUGAUUUAAACAAACAAUGGACCGAGUCGAGAUGGGUUUUCGAGGGAAUGACAGAAUUCUCUAUCCAAUUGAGUGCGGAAUCGAAAAGGAUGAUCAUUCGUAGGAAUUCCCGAUUUUAUGCAAGUGUCCGAAAAUUGCUGUCCCGACUCAAUCCAACAUCAUUCCAACAACUAUCAAAGACUUGCAUGCAACUAGGAACUGUUAGGUUAAGAAGACAAUAAUCCUAUUCAAUAACAUAGAAAUGCGAACUAUUGAUUUCAAAAUUAACUGUUUGAUCUUAUCUGGCAUAAUGUAUAUGUAUAGUUGUAAAAUCUGAUUCGAAGCAAAGCUGGAAUCAUAUGCCGAGAAGACCAACUAAAAAAUAAUCAAAACAAUAUUAUUUUAAUUAAAAAUUUAUUCUUAAAAAUAAAUCAACAAAUUAAGAUUUUAUCGAAUCAAUAGGAAAAAUUAAAUUUUUAACCAAAAUAAUCAGGUUUUAUUUUUCUUCAACUUGAACUAAUUACGUCUCGGAUUGACUUACUUGACCGAUUUGAAUUUUACCGUUAUAUAUCAUGUUAUCUUUAACUUUAUACAAAUCAGAUCCUCUAAUAUUAUAUAUUUAUAAACCUAACAAAUAUCAAGGUCAUGCUGUGCCCCAUCCUCCAACUUUGGGCAUGUCAGUUGAUUAGCACAACAUUAACCCUCAUAGAAAAAUACACAAUCUAGAUUGAAAAGAAAAGCCAUCGCUAAAUUUAAUCUUUAGAAGAGGGACAAACUCUUCCCUUUUCUAGAAAGAAAAAAAAAAGAAAAAAAGUCUUGCUUUCCGGGAACACAAAGCUAAUUUGACAAGUUCCAACAAAAGCUUGAACUAGGGGAGUAAAAAAUUAAAAAACUAAUUAAAUAAAAAAUUUUUGAAAAAACUAAAUCAUGAAAAAAAAUUGAUCAAACAAAUUAAAAUAUUUUAAAAAAUAUUUACUUCGGUUUGAUUUUGAUUUCAUAACUCUAAAACUAAAAAACCUCAACCAAACCAAACCAAUUUGGUUAAAAAUAAACCGAACCAAACCAAAAUUUUUUAAAAAAAAACGAACCAAAACCAAGCCCGUCAAAACCCAAAAAAAAAACAAUAUAGUUUUUUGUUUUUAAUAUAAAUAAUUGAGCCGAACAGAACCAAAACCGAAACUGGUCUGUCGAAACCGAUUUCAAUUUCAAUUUUUAUAUUUUAUAAAAUUUUAAUUUAAUUACUUUUAUAAAUAAAAAUCAAACCAAAUAAAAAAUAAUCACCCAUACCCCCAACGCAUGCUUAACAAUAAUUGCCAUGACCGUCUUCUCAAAGUGCCAAACUAUUUUAACGUCGAGGAAUAAUUUUUUUCUCGUAAUUUCUCUCUUCGUGAAUUUCAGCUAAACAUUCAAUGGAUGCUUAAAUGUUUCAGUAUCAGCCUAAUCAUUCCAGGAGUCUCGAAAUCAUCGAGUUUUUAUUUUUUAUUUUUUAGGGAUGCAUUGCCAGAUAGUGGUUGUGAAAAGAGCAUUUAACUUUAGCUGUUUGCUUGAGGAAAAAAAAAAACAGCUGGGCUCAUCCCCAUAGCCAUCAUGGAGUAUCGACUGCAUGCUUUUUUGUUUUUUUUUCCUUCUGGGAGGUGUGAUGGUCCACUGAAUUGUGCAAAAAAUUGUUGUUCUAACCACUGUUCUUAAAGUUGGUGUGGCUUGGUUGAUUGAUUUGAGACUGGCUGUCUUGUUUCCUGAUUUAUAUUACUUGAUUUAAAAGAAAAGGAAUUGUUGAUUUAGAUCAUCUCGUGCAAUUCAUAACUCGAGCUUUGUAACUGGUGGUGAAGAGGUUGUUUGUUUUGUAGUUUAUUUAUAUUUUUUAAAAGAAUUAUUUUUUAUUUUAAAUUAAUUUUGUGUGUGUAAUUUUGAUUGUUUUGAUGGGUUAGUAUUACAAAUUAAAAAAAUAUACUAUUUGAAUGUAUUUUAUAUAAAUUAAGUUUAAUAACUAUGGAUAUAAUAUGUACUAUUAUGAAGUUUACAAGUAAAUAAAUACAUGAACACGGAUGAAUGUGUGGAAAAAAAAGCGUGGAAGAAGCUUCCUGGGCUAUAUUUAAGUAUUGACUCAACCAUGAACAUUAAUCCAACAACAUGUUAUUGACUUAAAUGUGAUAUGUUAUGAUAAAUAAUAAUAAUAAGGAAAAUUAUAUUUAUUUAUCUUUAUAUUUUAUAUUAAGUUUUCUACAUUUUCAUCUAAAUAUAAUUAUUUCUUAUUUAUCCAUAUGUUUUUAUAUCAAUUUUCAAUCUAUUUCACGGUAAACAGAAAAAAAUACCAGCGUCUAGAAAACUUAAAUUCCAUCUGAUUUAUAAUUAAAAAAGAAUAUUCAAGAAACAAAAAACAAAUUCAUGUGCAGCUAGAAUUCAAGUUGUUUUUAUACCUGUUUGUUUUUUUAAUAAACCAUUUGUAACUUGAAAUUUUCAGGUAGAAAUAUUUCUAUUAGUUUGGAUUAGAAACUUUAAUAAAAAGAUAUAUUGAGAAAUAUUCUUAUAUUAAAAACAAUUAAUUUGUAAUAACCAAAAAAAAGAGACAUACAGAAAAAAUUGAACUAAUUCUUCGAACAAAAAAAAUACUUUAAAUUUUCUUCACUUGUGCUAGCAUUCGGUGUUAGGUUCCCAUCUCAGCAACACGAUUAUUGGAUGGGAGUUCCUGGGAAAGUUUGUCGUUGUUAAUCCUGAUUUUGAAGAUUUUUUAUUUUUUAAGUUUUAAAUUAAUAUUUUUUUAUUUUAAUUUAUUGAUGUUAAAAAUAAAAUAAAAAUAAUAUUUUAAUAUACUUUUAAAUAAAAAUUAAUUUAAAAAACAAUCUCUGCCGUAGUGGUCCCUUUGAAUACAAAAUUGAAGCCCUGCUAUAAACAAAGUCUUCAUGUUUGACCACGUUUCUCAGCCAGAAAAAAGUUUGACCAUUUUUUUGUUAGACUAUUUUUCCACGAAGAAUCAGAACUGUGGGGCUUUUUAUAUAUAUAUAUAUAUAUAUAUAUAUAUAUAUAUAUAUAUAUAUAUAUAUAUAUAUAUCAUAAACCAUGGAUUAUAAUCUAAUUUCAACUCUGUGAAUAUAGAUAUGAACUGCCACCGAUAAACAAGUUUCAUAGUUAUUUUAUUUUUUUUAUUUUUAAAUUAAAUUUUUUUAUCGUUUUGAUAUGCUGAUAUUAAAAAUAAAUUUUAAAAAAUAAAAAAAAUAUUAAUUUAAUAUAUUAAAAAAAUAUAUAAAAAACAAUAUUUAUUACAUUCUCGAACAAGUUCUUAUUAAAUAAAUAAUAAAUAGAGUAUAAAUGUUAUCAAAUUCAACUUAAAACUGGGUGUAAAUUUAACCUGAAACAUAUGUAUUUAUAUUAUAUACAUACAUGUAAAUCAUUUAUAUUUAUUAUAAUUCAUAUAAUAUAUACAAAGAUUUAUAAUAUUUAUCACGCACUCACCUCAAAUUGAAGCCUGUUAAAAAUAAAGUCUUGUUGUUUGACCACGUUUCUCAACAAAAAAAAAAAGUAAGAAGAACAGUAGAUGAAUUGUUUUUUUUUUAAGUCUGAUCUUUGAGAUUUUUAUUUCUUUUCAUCUUGAAUACUAAACUUUAUUUAUUUUUAAUUAAAUCAUUAUAAAUUAGGCUAACAGUGUUUUAUUUGUUAUUAUCUUAUUCAACUUGGAUGUUCUGGCGUGUUUGAUAUAUCAUUAAAUAUCCUAAUAUUAAAUUUUACAAAACUUAAUUUUAUGUUGUUUUAAAAAAAUAAAAAAAAAUCAAAGUACCAAAAUUAACAUUAAAAAAAAUAACCAAAAAAUUUGUAGAGUACAAGCCAACUGCUAUAUAAAUAAUCCAAAAUAAUUUUUUUUAAAAAAAGAAAAAUUUUGGUCCAAUCCGGCUAGAGGAUGAUGACAGCAGACGUUGGAUUCCAACGUCAGAAAGAUGACAAGGUCAAAAGCGCACAGCAUCUUUGAAUGACCACUCGGCUCCAGUGAUGCCACGUAUUAAUACCUAGAACCACAUGAACGUCACCAGUAGCCUUUGGAUUUUAUUUUUUUCACCAGAAUUUAACAAUGAAGGGGACAUUUGCAAGUGGUAUGCUAUGAUUUUCAAUCAUCCUUGAAAUAGGAGCCCCCAUGGACAUAACAUUUGUGUAAAAAAAUAAUCAUUUGCGGGGUACUUAGAGGUUAAGGAAAAAAAUAAUGAUAAGGUAUAGUUUAAUGUAAGAGAAUAUUACAAAUUAUAUAUUGUGUCUUUUGAUAGUGUGAUAUAAGAUAUUGUUUGUUGUUUUUACGGGGUAGAAAUGCUUUUGAAAAAACUUAUUUUUUAAUUUUAAUUUUUUUGUGUUUUUAAAUUGUUUUGAUGUACUGAUGUUAAAAUUGAAUUUUUAAAAAUUAAAAAAAUAUUAUUUUGAUAUAUUUUCAAGCGAGAAACACUUUAAAAGAUAAUUACUACUACAAUAUCAAACGAGCUCUAAAAUGUAUUUGUAAAAGUAUUUUUUAAUUGAAAAUGUAUUAAAAUAAUUAUUUUUGUACUAAAAUCAUCAAAAAAACAUAUAUAUAUAAAAUUAAUUUAAUGUUUUUUUUCAUAUGAAAAAAAAAUUAAAAAUAGAUUGUAUCGCAAAAACAAACACACAUGAUUUAGAGUUUGAAUUUCUCUGCCUAGUUCCAUCUUAAAUUAAUAAAUUAAGUAUAAGAUAUCAAUAUACCCAUGUAAAUUUCAAGUUUAAAAAGUAUUUUUUAGUUCAAAUAUUUUUCUAAUAAUCAGUGUUAUUGAAAGUGUUUUUUUUAAAUAAAUUUUAAAAUGUCAAAAAUAUAAAAAUAAUUUAUGUGAGAACCUUUUUAAUGAUUCUGAUAUUAAGAUAUCAAGUAAGAAGGUAUUAAAAAGAAACGGAAAAAGAUAAUCCUAUAAAUUCUGAAUAAAAAAAUAUUUAAAAAGUCAUUCUUAAUUACAUUAUUAAAAACACACCUAGGAUAUACAAGCCUGUAAUAUAAUGGUGUUAUCAAUUGUGGGAUACGUAUUAGUAUGAUGUCAUCAUCGAUCAGCAGGAUAUUUCAUAGAUAGAUAUGAGAAAUUGAAAAUUUGCAGCAGUCAGCAUUAAUGAUUAAAAAAAAACGGAGGACCUCUUUGCAAAAACAUGUAUUCCAGAGUGAGUGAGAUCUGGCAGGGCACAUUUGCAAUGUUUAUCUUCUAGAGGCAGGCAACGUGCGGGCAACCAAAACCCAGACGACGACCGUUUUCAUCCUCUUGUCCUUGCCGCCUUUCGGUUUUCCUUUUGUACGCACCAAGAAAAGAAAUUACAACACAGGUAAAGUCAUUCAAAAGUUAUAAUCUUAUAGAUUUAACUUAUCAUCCUCUUAUUAAUUAGGAAUGGUGAAAUUUGUUAACUCGAUGAUUCAUCAACCUAGUAUUUAAUUUGAGUUGGGUUUUAUAUUAAAUUUAAUUAAAAACUGAUUUAAUUAAUUUGAGAAGUUACUCGCGAAACAAUUAAAACUCAAGUGAAAUCUAGUUUAAUUUAGUUUUUUUUAAAAAAAUAAUGUUUCAACUUUUUUUUAUAUAUAAAAUGAAACUGUUUUGGAUUGAUCCGGGAAACUCGAAGUUGACCACUUCAAUCCAUGACCCGAAUCUUAAGCUAGAUCAUGGACAAGCUAGGGUUUCUAACUUUGAUUUGAACCCAAACAACAACAUUUUUCAUUUUCAUCCUAUUAGUUUUGCAGUUUUUCCUUUUGUGAAAAGAAAUUACAAUCCAAGUAAAAACAGUAGGAAUUUUAUCUUGCUUGCAUGGUGGCUUUCAUUUCUUAUUUGUUUACACAAGGAGAGGCGAUGUUUAGAAUACAGUAGCUGUCUAAUUGAAGAACAGGACGGGGUUAAUCAUUUAGUUGUCUAAAGUAUCAUUUCUUUUUGCAUUUUACAGACACGAGCAAGUUAUACAUAAUCAUUUCCCCCAUGAAAUAAUUUAAAGGGACUCUACAAGGUUAAGUCAACAUGUCGUGCACAACAUUUUCGCAUUAUAUAUUGUCACACGAAAGGUAUUGUCUUGAUUAUACAAUUUUCAAUGAACUUAACGAUGAAACAUGUCUCAACAAUGAAAUGACGUCGAGAGAUUACAAAAGAGGUUUUCUGUAAUGGUUUGUAAAUUGAUUCUGUGGGCUGAUUUGAAAAACCUCAAAUCUAGAGGAUGGUCCAUGUUAGUUUUUAAUUAAAUUGAAUAAAAUAUUCACAGAAUAAAAUUUGAUUAUUCAUUUUAAAUGAUUUAGUUAAUAAAAUCAAAUCAAAUCGGGUUAACAUUAAAAAAUACAUGAAAUGCUACUAUUUUAAUAAAAAAACGAUUAACCUAACCUAAAUUAAUUCAAUGAUACACACACCAGUUAACUUAUGAUUCAUAUAUAUUUCAACUUGUUACCCAAUCAAGUACGAAACCCGUGGGGAAUCGUAAGAAGGUACCCCCACUAGCUACUUGUAAAAAAAAAUAAAAAAAAAUGAAGAACAAGUGGGUGAUGUCCUUGGAAGGCUAUGCCAACUAACUUAAUUCGGUUGGUGUUAUUGUAGUCGGCAUGUCCGCUUCAAAAGAAGAAAAAAAGAAGAGAAAAAACGAUAUUGCCCCCUUAAAAUCUACAUAAUUUCAUCAUAGGCCUUGUUAAUUAAUUCGGAAGCUUAAUGUAUUAAACAGGACUCAAUCUCUGAAAAGCAUGGUUAGUGGUGUUAGCCAGUAAGUUAAACAGGAUCAAAGCAUUCAACAAUAACAUUUAAUCCAAUCCAAGUAUAUAAUUGAUCUGGGAUACUCAUGAUCAUAAUCUUUUAUAUAAUUCUCUUCUUUUUCUUGAUGCCCGUAAUUGAAUCUCGCGCAGUACUUACUGUAUAGCAACUUAGCAAGGUAGUUUGCAUCCCACUGAUGUGGGGCUCUAAGGAGAAGAACAGCAUGUCUCAGAUCAUAGACUGCAAUAUAGAAUUUCUAAAUCUCAAGUACUAAAUAAUAAAGAAUUUACAUAGAGAUUUGAGCAUAUGAGGAUCUCAAAAGCUAGCACCAAAAAGAAGAACUCAUACAAAGUACGCUCAACUGGCCAUAAAUUAACUAGUUAAUUAAGCACAUCUAACUGAAAAGAUUCAUGAAAAAGGCUUGGCUGAAGCAUGCCCAUGAAGCUGCCUUCCAUGGACGGGAAAAACUCUCCGUCAAGUGACCCAAGAAAAGACUCGGAGCUUGUUGUUGAUGGUGACUGAUCAUUACACGAGUUCGUCAAAGGAAACACCGAUGGAUGAUGAUCAUAUUCAGCCGUUUGGUGAGGGAUUUCAAGAGAGUCACGAGCACCAUUAAUGUCCAUGAACCGUUCGGCAUCGGAGUCUUUGCCGGUGAGUUCCUGAACAAGAGCUCUAAACUUUGAGGCACUAGUCUUGACCUUCAUAGGGCUAGAUAUGUAGACAACUUUGAUAGCCUUUUUACCUCUCUUGGUAUGUGAUCUCUUGCCGCUCUUCAUGUUAGCCCCAAGUACAUCCAUGGCGUAAUUAAAAGAGAGAUUCUACGUGUUUGUAUGUAGAUAAAAGUUCUGAUGAUUUCACGUCAUGCACUGAACAUCUUAUAUAAGGUUUUUUAGACAAGGUACGGACUGCUGGCACAACUAGGAGUUUCCCAGAAGGUGGUUAAUUUGUCUUGGAAAAUAAGGAAAAGGGAGGUAAAGAAAAAUUGACAUGGAUCGAUAUUGGACCCAAAGGAAAGGUGAAAGGAGGCUGUGUGAUUAAUUAAAUGCAAGAUUUUUGCCUUGUUCGAUGGCCCACAAUUAACAACAAGUAUAUGAUACGAGGGCCGUGAUUUCCUAGAAGGUGAUAAGCUUAGAAAAAAGAUUUCAAGACAAUAAGUUAAGCUAAUACUAGUUGGUGGUGCUGCUCAUAACCCUAUGGUCAAUGGAAGAUUCUGUAAAGCUGCUUGGAUGACCCGUAAUUUUAUGGGAUGUUUGUGACACCUAGAGUAGGAUAAGAUAGUGAGGCUUCCGUUCAAUGUAACUAGAGGGGGAAACGGAUAGAAGCACGUGCGCAGCCUCAUGAGACUAUGGAAAAGCUAGCCCUUUGAAAUCAUGACCUGAGACUUGGCUGGAGAUUACAAAAACC